CGCCGACCGAGUCGCUGCGCUCGGGCCACCUCCCUUUCGGCGUGGCUGCCAUUUCUGCCGAGGGGCCUCGCUUGCCUCUGACGUCGAUUGUAGGGCUGAGUAAAAGCUGCGAGGGCUGACGCGAACCGGCCGAGAGAAAAUAGUUCCUCGUUUACGAAGGGGCUGAGCUAGCAAUAAAAAUGACAGAUGGAUGCGAUGCUAUCCGCGGGUCAUGGGCAGUUUAGUUGGUUUAAAUCCUGAAGUGCGGUGCGUUUGCCUUUACCGGGAAACGGCGAACUCGUGUGAAGGAGCGCGGAAGGAGACGCGGCUUCUUCGUUUAGCUGAGACAGCAGCUUUGGGGAAAAGGAAGCGAGGAGGGAUUGAAACGAGCCUCUUGUGUUUGAUAGGCACAGAGAGGCAAGGCAUAUUUACUCAAGAGUAAGUCCCAUUAUAUUCCAUGGGGCUUGCUUUCAGCGGGCAGAUUUAGGAGGAAGUAAGUUGCCUUGCGUUCAGUAGUAAGGAUUACUCCCAGGUAAGCAUACAUAGGAUUUGAUGUUUCAGUGUGCGAGGAGCAUACGUGGAUGGAAGAGAAAUUGUCCUUCAGAAGAAAAAUGAAUUAUAAGUGUAACCGGAGGACACACAUUUCAUCCUGGAGGAUCGAUAGAAAAAAGUCAUUUAUAUCGUGAGAAAUGCCAGUUCAAGUUUCCAAAGAUAAAGGACAAUGUAGUAAUGUUGGUUGUGCUUAAAUUUCUUGUAAAGCUAGAUACAGUAGAUCUGGUGGAGCUUAUUUUCAAGAGUGCAUAUUACACCUUCAUUGAAAACGAAGCUCACAUGAAAUAAAUGUAAAUAACAUAAAAUUAAAUAAAGGAUAUUUUAUAUAUCUUA